CCCUAUCGUCUAGAGGCCUAGGACAUCGCCCUUUCACGGCGGUAACCGGGGUUCGAAUCCCCGUAGGG
rnacentral:tRNA from 1 species